rnacentral:rRNA from 1 species
UACGAAGGGGGCUAGCGUUGUUCGGAAUUACUGGGCGUAAAGCGCACGUAGGCGGAUAUUUAAGUCAGGGGUGAAAUCCCAGAGCUCAACUCUGGGACUGCCUUUGAUACUGGGUAUCUCGAGUAUGGAAGAGGUGAGUGGAAUUCCGAGUGUAGAGGUGAAAUUCGUAGAUAUUCGGAAGAACACCAGUGGCGAAGGCGGCUCACUGGUCCGGUACUGACGCUGAUGUGCGAAAGCGUGGGGAGCAAACAGG